rnacentral:lncRNA from 1 species
GUGUGUUGCCUAAUAGCAUGUUGCCUGUAUGAGCUUUAAUUCUUAAUUCUUACUACUGGUAAUAGUGAAGAAUUGCCGUGAUUUUUAAGGGACAUUUUUGUCAAUUACUUAAAAAUAAUAGAUGGAAUAAGUUAUUCCUGACCCCCCUUUUAGGAAUAAAAAUUAUAAUUUUAAGUUAACACAUAUUCCACUAGGAAUACAUUAUUCCAUUGGAAUAAAUAAACCAAAC